GACGAACGCUGGCGGCGUGCCUAACACAUGCAAGUCAACUUGACUGAAGGAGCAAUCUGACAGUAGAGUGGCGCAAGGGUGCGUAACGCGUAAGUAACUUGCCCCAAGGUAAGGAAUAACGUCGAGAAAUCGGCGCUAAUACCUCAUAAUGCAGCGGAUCCGCAUGGAUAUGUUGUUAAAGGUUUACCGCCUUGGGAUAGGCUUGCGUCUGAUUAGCUAGUUGGUGUGGUAACGGCACACCAAGGCUACGAUCAGUAACUGGUCUGAGAGGAUGAUCAGUCACACUGGAACUGAGACACGGUCCAGACUCCUACGGGAGGCAGCAGUGAGGAAUAUUGGGCAAUGCUCGAAAGAGUGACCCAGCAACGCCGCGUGGAGGAUGAAGGUAUUCUAUAUCGUAAACUCCUGUGAGAGCAGACGAAAGACAGAUUAUAAUCUGGAUGACUGUAUGCUCAGAGGAACG
rnacentral:rRNA from 1 species